GGAAGGGAUGGGAAGCGGCGGACGGCUGAGUAACACGUGGGUACUUCCCCCAAAAUAACGGAUAGCUCCUCGAAAGAGGGGGUAAUACAUUAUAGUCUCUGGAUUUAUUUCUGGAGUAAAGCGACUAACCUCGCGUUUUGGGAUAGACCUGCGGCCUAUCAGGUAGUUGGUGAGGUAACUGCUCACCAAGCCAAUGACGGGUAGCUGGCCUCAUGAGGGUGGUCAGCCAGAGGGGGACUGAGACACGGCCCCCACUCCUACGGGAGGCAGCAAUCAGGAAUAGUCGGCAAUGGGCGAAAGCCUGACCGCGCGACACCGCGUGUAGGAAUAAGUACGAAAGUAUGUAAACUACUGUGGUAGGGGAAAAAGUCCCGCUUUUGGCGGGAUUGACGGUACCCUACUAGAAAGGAGCCGCUAACUGCGUGCCAGAAGCGUCGGUAAUACGUGGGCUCCAAGCGUUAUCCGGUUUAAUUGGGCAUAAAGGGUCGUGUAGGCGGGUAUGUAAGUUAUCUUUCAAAUACCAAUGCUCAACAUUGGAACUGGAGAUAAGACUAUAUAUCUAGAGUUUUCUUUAGGGUAAGCGGAACUGAGGGAGGAGUA
rnacentral:rRNA from 1 species